CAGUGGCCGCUGCGCGUUCUUUCUGAACAGCAUCAUUCUCGCGACGAGAAGAGCUACAGCUAGUGUCAUUCUUCACAUUUCCAAUGAAUUAUCAUCGCAUUCCUAUGUCUGCCAGCUGACAAUCUGUGAAGUAUCUUCUACGCUUGGAAACGGGAUUCGCUUGAUUUGUCAACUGGGUGUGUUUCAGUUUCUGUGAUUUGUUGGACUUGCUGUUGUGCGGUGGUGAUACUGGACCAUGGCACAGACCAACAAUCUGCAGAACACCAAUGGGGAGGCCGAUGACUCACCCAACAUGCUAGUCUACAGGAAGAUGGAGGAUGUGAUAGCCCGCAUGCAGGAGGAGAAGAAUGGAAUACCGAUACGCACAGUGAAGAGCUUUCUAACCAAGAUUCCCAGUGUCUUUUCAGGUUCUGAUAUUGUCCAGUGGAUGCUGAAGAACCUGAGCAUCGAAGAUCAAGUUGAAGCGCUGCAUCUGGGCACUCUGAUGGCCGCACAUGGAUACUUCUUCCCCAUCUCAGAUCACGUGCUCACACUCAAAGACGACAACACGUUCUACAGAUUUCAGACACCAUACUUCUGGCCUUCAAAUUGCUGGGAACCAGAGAACACUGACUAUGCUGUUUACCUGUGCAAGAGAACGAUGCAAAAUAAAGCACGUCUGGAGCUGGCUGAUUAUGAGGCUGAAAGCUUAGCCAGGUUACAGCGAGCCUUUGCCAGGAAAUGGGAGUUUAUUUUUAUGCAAGCCGAAGCACAAGCAAAAGUGGAUAAAAAGCGAGACAAAAUUGAGAGGAAAAUUCUUGACAGUCAAGAAAGAGCCUUCUGGGAUGUGCACAGACCAGUGCCAGGGUGUGUGAAUACGACAGAGGUGGACAUAAAGAAAUCCUCCAGAAUGAAGAACCCCCACAAAACAAGAAAGUCUGUAUACGGCCUUCAGAAUGACAUCCGCAGCCACAGCCCCACUCACACACCUGCCCCCGAGGCCAAGCAGCCUACCGUGGAGGAGCUGCAGGAACAGAUCAAAUUUUGGCAAGCGCAAUUAGACCGGCAUCGAUUGAAAAUGUCCAAAGUGGCAGAGAGUUUACUGGGUUAUACAGAGCAGUACGUGGAGUACGACCCCUUCCUUACAACUCCCGAUCCCUCAAAUCCAUGGAUCUCAGAUGAUGCAACAUUCUGGGAGCUGGAGGCCAGUAAGGAGCCUACCCAGCAGCGAGUGAGGCGUUGGGGCUUUGGUAUCGAUGAAGUCCUGAAGGACCCUGCUGGAAGAGAGCAGUUCCUGAAGUUCCUAGAAUCGGAGUUCAGCUCAGAAAACCUGAGGUUCUGGUUGGCGGUGCAGGAGUUGAAGAGGAGACCCAUCCGGGAGGUGCCAACGAGGGUACAGGAGAUCUGGCAGGAGUUUCUCGCGUCUGGGGCGCCCAGUGCCAUUAACGUGGACUCCAAGAGCUACGCCAAGACCACUCAGAAUGUCAAAGACCCAGGCCGCUACGCCUUUGAGGACGCACAGGAGCACAUAUAUAAGCUGAUGAAAAGUGACUCUUACAGCCGCUUCAUCCGAUCCAGUGCCUACCAGGAGCUUCUGCAGGCCAAGAAAAAGAAAAGUAAGAACUUGUUUUGAGGGAUAUUUGCUUCCAGGUAAUAUGACCACAGUGGUUAAUGCCCAAUACGCCUCCACUCUCCUCUACGCUGCAUGGGAAAUCUCUCACCUCAAAAAGGUGAGCUGCUCUUGUGUGGUCAAGCUGAAACCCAGAGACUCUGAAGCCACUGGACAAGGACAGUCUUUUUCUCCAUCUCAUCUGGUUGGUCCAUACCCACAGACAAUGGACUUCGAACCAGAUGUUGCAUGUCCAAGGGACUGAUUUUCUACAUCCCUUAUUCUGGUUUUGUUUCAGUAAUCUGAAGACAAAAUUUUUGUGUUUGUUUGGACUUCCGGAGACAUUUUGAAACUUGGAUAUAAUGCCUUUUGAAGCUGUCUGAUGCUCAGUCCCUUCCAUGUAUAUCAGAUGGAUUUGACAUCAGCUUUGUCCAUUCUUAACUUAAAAUAGAGAUGAAAAAAGGCAAAAAAACAUCAUAGUCAAGAGAAUCUGCAUAGAUACAUUCUGUGAGACAUCACAAAUAUUAAUUAACGAAAUAGUCACACUAGAGGAGGUGUUAACGAGGCACGCAUAAGAUGACACUUUCAUCUGCAUUUCGCUUGUUACACUAAGGAAAAUUGAGAGAGAAAAAAAUACACACAACUUAGCACAGUUUACCAUCGCACUUGUGAAGUCACAUUGAAAAUGUUAUGGAAAUGAUGCCACCAACAACAGGCUCUGUCUUGUCUUAUGUAGUCAUUAAUUCUUUGUUACUCUCUUCUUCAUUUAUUUUUAUACCAUAUUUAAAGACACUUUUAAUUAAAAUGUAUUAAAGUCAGCCCUUUAUCUGAAAA